GUAGGGAAUAUUGGGCAAUGGAGGCAACUCUGACCCAGCCAUGCCGCGUGCAGGAUGACGGCCCUCUGGGUUGUAAACUGCUUUUAUACGGGAAGAAAAAUACUACGUGUAGUAUACUGACGGUACCGUAAGAAUAAGGAUCGGCUAACUCCGUGCCAGCAGCCGCGGUAAUACGGAGGAUCCAAGCGUUGUCCGGAUUUAUUGGGUUUAAAGGGUGCGUAGGCGGAUCUUUAAGUCAGUGGUGAAAGCCUGCAGCUUAACUGUAGAAUUGCCAUUGAAACUGAAGAUCUUGAAUGUGGUUAAAGUAGGCGGAAUGUAUCAUGUAGCGGUGAAAUGCUUAGAUAUGAUACAGAACACCGAUAGCGAAGGCAGCUUGCUGAACCAUUAUUGACGCUGAGGCACGAAAGCGUGGGGAGCGAAAAGGAUUAGAUACCCUAGUAGUCC
rnacentral:rRNA from 1 species